rnacentral:rRNA from 1 species
GACGAACGCUGGCGGCGUGCUUAACACAUGCAAGUCGAACGGAAAGGCCCUGCUUUUGUGGGGUGCUCGAGUGGCGAACGGGUGAGUAACACGUGAGUAACCUGCCCUUGACUUUGGGAUAACUUCAGGAAACUGGGGCUAAUACCGGAUAGGAGCUCCUGCUGCAUGGUGGGGGUUGGAAAGUUUCGGCGGUUGGGGAUGGACUCGCGGCUUAUCAGCUUGUUGGUGGGGUAGUGGCUUACCAAGGCUUUGACGGGUAGCCGGCCUGAGAGGGUGACCGGCCACAUUGGGACUGAGAUACGGCCCAGACUCCUACGGGAGGCAGCAGUGGGGAAUAUUGCACAAUGGGCGGAAGCCUGAUGCAGCAACGCCGCGUGCGGGAUGACGGCCUUCGGGUUGUAAACCGCUUUCGCCUGUGACGAAGCGUGAGAGACGGUAAUGGGUAAAGAAGCACCGGCUAACUACGUA